rnacentral:tRNA from 1 species
CGAAUCCUACUUGGGGAGAUUUGAUGAAUUCUUAAUUAAAGAAUUCAGAAUUAAAGGGCUCGCUUUGACCGU